GUGUCAGCAGCCGCGGUAAUACGGAGGGUGCGAGCGUUAAUCGGAAUUACUGGGCGUAAAGCGUGCGUAGGCGGAUGCUUGAGUCGGAUGUGAAAGCCCCGGGCUUAACCUGGGAAUUGCAUCCGAUACUGGGCGUCUAGAGUGUGGUAGAGGGGGGUAGAAUUCCUGGUGUAGCGGUGAAAUGCGUAGAUAUCAGGAGGAAUACCGGUGGCGAAGGCGACCCCCUGGACCAACACUGACGCUGAGGUACGAAAGCGUGGGUAGCAAACAGGAUUAGAAACCCUGGUAGUCC
rnacentral:rRNA from 1 species